rnacentral:rRNA from 1 species
CUUAGUCUCACGAGCAAGCUUAAGCCGAUAGGCGGAGGCGUAGCGAAAGCGAGUCUGAAUAGGGCGAAUGAGUUCGUGGGAUUAGACCCGAAACCGGGUGAUCUAGCCAUGGGCAGGUUGAAGGUGGGGUAACACCCACUGGAGGACCGAACCCACGUCCGUUGAAAAGGACGGGGAUGACCUGUGGCUAGGGGUGAAAGGCCAAUCAAACUCGGAAAUAGCUGGUUCUCCGCGAAAUCUAUUUAGGUAGAGCGUCGGAUUAGUACCGCCGGGGGCAGAGCACUGGAUGGGCUAGGGGGGAGCGAUCCUUACCAAACCUAACCAAACUCCGAAUACCGGCGAGUAUCGUCCGACAGACAGGCUGUGGGUGCUAAGGUCCAUGGCCGAGAGGGAAACAGCCCAGACCACCAGCUAAGGUCCCCAAAUCGUGGCUAAGUGGGAAAGGAUGUGGGAAGGCCAAGACAACCAGGAGGUUGACUUAGAAGCAGCCAUCCUUUAAAGAAAGCGUAAUAGCUCACUGGUCUAGACAAGCCGUCCUGCGCCGAAAAUGUAACGGGGCUAAAGCCACGUACCGAAGCUGUGGAUGUGCAUGCAAAUGCACGUGGUAGCGGAGCGUUCCGUAAGCCUGUGAAGGGGUCUCGCGAGGGGUCCUGGAGGCACCGGAAGUGAGAAUGCUGACAUGAGUAGCGACAAACAGUGUGAGAGACACUGUCGCCGAAAGUCCAAGGGUUCCUGCGCAAGGUUAAUCCGCGCAGGGUGAGCCGGUCCCUAAGGUGAGGCCGAAAGGCGUAGUCGAUGGGAAUCAGGUUAAUAUUCCUGAGCCUGCUGGAUGUGACGAACGCUGCAAGUUGUGAGGGCUUAUUGGAUUGCCCUUGCCGCGAAGGCGUUCCAGGAAACAACGCCAGCGUGAGACCGUACCCGAAACCGACACAGGUGGACUGGUAGAGCAUACCAAGGCGCUUGAGAGAAUGAUGUUGAAGGAACUCGGCAAAUUGCCCUCGUAACUUCGGAAGAAGAGGGCCCUUGUCUUGGGCAACCAGGAUGAGGGGGCACAGAGCAGGGGGUGGCGACUGUUUACCAAAAACACAGGGCUCUGCGAAGCCAACAGGCGACGUAUAGGGUCUGACGCCGGCCCGGUGCCGGAAGGUUAAGAGGAGGGGUGCAAGCUCUGAAUCGAAGCCCCGGUAAACGGCGGCCGUAACUAUAACGGUCCUAAGGUAGCGAAAUUCCUUGUCGGGUAAGUUCCGACCUGCACGAAUGGCGUAACGACUUCCCCGCUGUCUCCAACAUCAACC